rnacentral:rRNA from 1 species
CCUACGGGAGGCAGCAGUGAGGAAUAUUGGUCAAUGGACGCAAGUCUGAACCAGCCAUGCCGCGUGCAGGAAGACGGCUCUAUGAGUUGUAAACUGCUUUUGUACGAGGGUAAACGCAGAUACGCGUAUCUUCUUGAAAGUAUCGUACGAAUAAGGACCGGCUAACUCCGUGCCAGCAGCCGCGGUAAUACGGAGGAUUCAAGCGUUAUCCGGAUUUAUUGGGUUUAAAGGGUGCGUAGGCGGUCGGAUAAGUUAGAGGUGAAAUCCCGAGGCUCAACUUCGGAAUUGCCUCUGGUACUGUUCGGCUAGAGAGUACUUGCGGUAGGCGGAAUGUAUGGUGUAGCGGUGAAAUGCUUAGAGAUCAUACAGAACACCGAUUGCGAAGGCAGCUUACCAAGCUACUUCUGACGUUGAGGCACGAAAGCGUGGGGAGCGAACAGGAUUAGAUACCCGGGUAGUC